UACGUAGGGUGCGAGCGUUGUCCGGAAUUAUUGGGCGUAAAGAGCUCGUAGGCGGUCUGUCGCGUCUGCUGUGAAAUCCCGAGGCUCAACCUCGGGCUUGCAGUGGGUACGGGCAGGCUAGAGUGCGGUAGGGGAGAAUGGAACUCCUGGUGUAGCGGUGGAAUGCGCAGAUAUCAGGAAGAACACCAAUGGCGAAGGCAGCUCGCUGGGACGGUACUGACGCUGAGGCGCGAAAGCGUGGGGAGCAAACAGG
rnacentral:rRNA from 1 species